AUGUGCCCCGUUUGCUUAAGGGUCAAGGCUGUGGCCUGGCGCUCCCUGGCGCUUGCCCUUACACAGAGCGUCCUUUCUGUCUCUGCUGCUGGGGAGGUGCAGCCGGAAGUGAGCCUCCCCACUGGGCCGUUUCCUUCCAGUGAUGGUGGCCAGGAGGGAAGGGACCUUUCCGUGGCUCCUCGGGGGUCUCUGCGUGAUGACACGGCUUGUCUGUCCAUGGUCCGUGCUGCCUCCCUCAGCCCCUCUCUCUGUCCCCAGGAUGGCUCUGUUCUGAACAUAUGCCCCCCACCUCCGGACGAGGCCAGCCGAGACCAGCCGGACGACAGGGAGGACCUCCCAUGGGGCGCCCAGUUUGAGCUGCCACCGAUGCUGCUGGAGACGGACAGCAGCGGCUACAGGUCGUCACAAGCCACACCGUCGAAAACGCUGGGCAAGCAAGAUUCCCUUCUCCCGCCACCGUCCCUCCGCAUCCUGCUAACCCCUCCAGCUCACGAGCCAUCGAGCUCCCUGAGCGUGAAGAAUUUGGUCUCCAAGCUAUGCUCCCCGACUGGCCUGGACCUGGGCACCCCGCGGAUGGCAGCAGAGGCCGGCGGUCCAGCCCUGAGCGCUCAGGCCCUCAAGGAGAUGGCCGUGAGCACCAAGGGCAUCGCCCGCAUCGCGGCCACCCGACGCUCCAAGGCACAGGAACGCGAGGGUGGCAGAGGCCACUCCUCCCUCCACCUUCCGGAGGAGGUGGCCCUGGACUCCAGGGACCCGAAGGCCAGUGUCACCCCAGACCCGAGCCCAGCGGACCGGAGGCGGCCCCUCGCCAGCCCGGGCAGGGACCGCUCUGCAGAGAGGAAGCACAGGAGGAAGCGGUCACCCUCCCUCACCUGGAACGCGCAGCCGGUGGGUGGACAUUGGCUGGCCUCCUAGCCCCGUCGCGGGGUCCAGCUGUGAUGGCAGAGAGGGAGGGUUGGGACUGACCCCCACCGUUACGGUGGAGGCAGGAGGGCCCCGG
rnacentral:lncRNA from 1 species